GAUAUUCUGGUAAAAUGAUGGUAGAGUUAAAAGCUGCAGAGAAUUGAGCGGCCGUAUGGGAGUUAAUAGUGCGACUGCAUAAAACAGGGGCUGGAGGUUUAACUGUGUGACAUGGCAGCUGCACAUUAAACAAAACAGGCAUGUGGUCAGAAAACACAGCAUCACAGAUUUCAAGGUCAAAAGUUGUUAAGCCAUGGGUUAAAAUUAAGUCAAGUGUGUGACCAUGUUCUUGCGUAGGGGCAGACACAAGUUCAACAAGAUUAAAAGAGUUGAUAAGAUUCAAAAAGUCUCUGGCCAGUGAUUUAUCAGGACAGCAGACAUGAAUAUUAAAAUCCCCAACUAUCAAAAUUCUGUCAUAUUUUGGCAUUAUUCCAGCCAAGAACACAGCGAAAUCAUCAAUGAAGUCCUUGUUGUAUUUUGGCGGCCUGUAUAUAACAGCACAAAACAUUGAGAGAGCAGGGUCUAGCUUAAAGACGCUUGCCUCAAAACUAGAGUAGGUCUUUGUUAAAAUCACCUGUUUACAGUUGUAGCUGGUCCUGUAGACGGUGGCCACACCCCCUCCUCGACCAGACGAUCUAUGAGCGCUAAAAUAUGAGCAAUCCGGUGGUAAAAGUUCAGUGAAAGCGCUACUAUCGUCUCCAGAGAUCCAAGUUUCAGUUACAUAAAGGAAAUCCAGUCGAUGGGUGACGAAGAAAUCCUUUAGGAUGAAGGUUUUGUUGGCUAGCGAUCUAGCGUUCACGAGCGCCAUCCUAGCCGGGAUUGGAGUGCCCUUCAUUGGCAGAGCGCGAGGAAGCUGCCGCAGGUUGUGGAGGCCUCUCCCCCGCUUGCGGAGGUACGGCAAGGUGGGUCGACGGCCCCGCAGCUCCACGUCCACGCCGACCAGAGAAACCAAACAGGGAGCGACCGGGUUCGUACAACGUACAGCUUUCAGUUUCACCAGUAAACCGCUACGCUUCCCUCGACGCCUGCGCCGCCAUCGCGGAAGCGGAGCACGAUACAGUUCUGUCUGAGGGCUGAUGCUGGGGCAGAGGAACUUCGUGAUGUGGCAGUGGGAGGAGCAGAAGAAGUUCCUGAUGAAAUGGAAAGGGAGGAGCAUGGACAACUUCCUGAACACUUCCACCUGGAGAAGAUGAAGGGGGAAGACAAAGUUUAUUCUUAUGUUGGACUAUUGUUUGUAUUUUUGUGGAUAUGUUAAACUUAUUUUGAAGUAUAAGUUCAGUUUCUUGGUUAAAGCAUUAAAUUACUAGUAAUUUACUACUUUAGUUAAUAUUUAGGUUUUGAAUGUUUUGUGUUUGUGAUUCCCUCCCUAUUGUGUCAUUGGUCUGAUCAGCCAGUAUAAAAUCUCCCUAAUGUUUCCUGUUGGUGGGUCAGUUUUGGUUCAGUUGGUUUGAGCUUUUGUUAUUGAUUCUCUCAGUUACAUUUUUUGUUAAGUUGACCCCCAUUUUAAUUUGGGCCCAUAUUGUUAUGUGUUGGGUAAAAUAAAAACCCCUGAUUUGAAGA